GGGUGGAUAGCUCAGUGGUAGAGUGUGUGCUCAGCAUGCACAAGGUCCUGGGUUCAAUUUCCAGUACCUCCA
rnacentral:tRNA from 1 species